rnacentral:rRNA from 1 species
ACGCGUCUUGGUUAUUGAUGUUAAGUGCUUGCAUUUAACUCCUUUAACAUUGAGACGAGUGGCGAACUGGUGAGUAACACGUCCGUAACCUGCCCUUGAAGUAGGGGAUGACACUUGGAAACAGGUGCUAAUACCGUAUAACAACCAAAACCACCUGGUUUUGGUUUAAAAGAUGGCUUCGGCUAUCACUUUAGGAUGGACCCGCGGCGUAUUAGCUUGUUGGUAAGGUAACGGCCUACCAAGGCAAUGAUACGUAGCCGACCUGAGAGGGUAAUCGGCCACAUUGGGACUGAGACACGGCCCAAACUCCUACGGGAGGCAGCAGUAGGGAAUCUUCCACAAUGGACGAAAGUCUGAUGGAGCAACGCCGCGUGAGUGAUGAAGGGUUUCGGCUCGUAAAACUCUGUUGUUGGAGAAGAACAGGUGUGAGAGUAACUGUUCACAUCUUGACGGUAUCCAACCAGAAAGUCACGGCUAACUACGUGCCAGCAGCCGCGGUAAUACGUAGGUGGCAAGCGUUAUCCGGAUUUAUUGGGCGUAAAGAGAGUGCAGGCGGUUUUCUAAGUCUGAUGUGAAAGCCUUCGGCUUAACCGGAGAAGUGCAUCGGAAACUGGAUAACUUGAGUGCAGAAGAGGGUAGUGGAACUCCAUGUGUAGCGGUGGAAUGCGUAGAUAUAUGGAAGAACACCAGUGGCGAAGGCGGCUACCUGGUCUGCAACUGACGCUGAGACUCGAAAGCAUGGGUAG